AUGGCAGAUGCAAGGGAAAUGGUGCCAAUGUGGAUAGAGUAAUACGUUAAAACCCCUGCACCUUCCCAUCUACAUAGUGGCCAGCCCUGUCAGGACAACCUUUCUGAAAAGACUGUGCCAGAGCUGGUUUUGGAAAGAGCAGAUUAAAACAGGUGAAACUACAGAAGGGAAUGACUGGAGGACAAGUGGCAGAUGCAGCCAGGUGAAAGCUUUCAAGCUAACCCUACCCCCAUCCUCUGCAUCUUCAGAUCCAAGCCAAGGAGAACACUCAUGUGAAGCGACCAUGGAACUGCCUCAUGUCAGAAAGAAAAAUCCCACAAUGACCGAUGCUACAUGUCGCAGCACCAAAGAGCACAAAGCACCAUGUAAUAACUGUUGGGAGGGUUGCAGCAAAAAUUCCUCAUAGACUGACCUCUCUCUGAGCAAGGCUGACCUGUAGAUUUCUCCCGGGACUCUUUAAAGCAUGUGGAAAAGGUGAUGUCAACAACACUUAUAUAUGCUGGGCAAACAGAGACAAGACUAAUUAAUAGAGAUACAAAAGAAAAUCUUGCCCCUUUCAAUGGUCAUCCUGACAUGAAACAUAGACAUCAUACUACAAUCUUGGGUAUUCAGAGAAUGACUGGACUUGUGAAAAAAUGGGAGUCUUGAAAAUCCUCUCUGUGUAACAUAGAACGGUGUUGCCAGCGUGCCUGCUUUUAAGAUGAUUUAGUCUCUGGAGCAUUUUCCUUUGAAGUCUAAUAUGUAGUUCUGUGUCUGCACAACAUUUUCAAUGCAUUAAACAAAUUAGUCUCUGGUUACAAAACUUUUUCAACAUUUGCAAGUUGCCAUUUAACUAGAUCCAUUAUGUGUCAACAAAGUUGAUGGUGGGGUGGCUCGUUUGAGAGGAAUGAACUUUUGGAAUGAUUAAUAAAUAAAACAGCUUCUCUCACCCUCA